rnacentral:misc_RNA from 1 species
AGAAGUUGUGGGGUACUGGAUAGGUGACUGCUGCUGGUGCUAGGAGGCCAGUGGUAAAGUCUGCCAAAGUAAACCCUCUUGCCAAGAAAUUUUAGUAGGUGGAUUAAUUAGUGCUAUUUGUGAGCAUUUUGAUGUGGACGUAGUGAGCUUCGACUUUCAAUUGGUAAAGGGAAAUGACUGGGUUGGUUUAGAAUCUCUGAUAAGGCAAGGAUUUUGAAAAAGGCAUGAUGAUGGGUUAGUUCUUCUUGAUGAUACUAGGAAUAUAGUUUCAAAUUUGUGUUUGCCAAGAAAGGGUUUGGAAGAGGAAGAAGAGAGGUAUUCAGAUUAUCAAAUGGAAUGUGAAGAGCAAUCAAUUUUGCCACUUGCCUUACCACCUAGUUCAGCAACUUUGGACUUGAUUUUGGCUAGAAUUGAUCAACAGGAUAUUUAGAUGGAUAGGAAAUUUCAAGAAGUGAAAUCUGAAUUGCAUGAGGUAAAAGAAAGAUGGAUGGUUUGGAGAGGGCUAAUGAUCAUUUUUGUGGUUGUUGAGAGGAAAAAAUAAAUGAAAUUCUGCAGUUGUGAUUGCCACAUCAACAUAUUAUAUAUGCUAGCAUUACUAUUUUGUUACAUAGUAAUAUCAACCCUUUUUCAUUUUAAGCAUGUUGAUCGAUUGGGUUGUAAAUAAUUUAAUGUUACUAUUUGCACUAUGUGACUAUUAAUUUUUGCUAAUAUUAGUACUUACUCGGAUAAUGUAGUGUUGUGUGCUUGAUUAUGCUGUGGAUUAUUGUUGGGCAUUUUGAGCUUAUUUUAUGAUUGAUUUUCUUUUGCUUAGCUAUUGUGGACGAUAUCUAUAAGUUUUGGGGUGCAAACAUAAAAUUUUUUUUUGUGUGAAAUGUGUUUGCAUUGUUGAUUGAGAAAUUCAAAAUAGAAUAAUUUUAGUCAUUGUUGUAUUAGUUAUUUUAAUCUAAUUUUGAAGAAAUAAAUUCAUAGAUUAAUUAUUUUUGAUCUAUGAAGUAUUUAAAUGAGGUUUUAUGCAUGAGACAAUUAUUUUGCUUUGCCAACCUUAUAUGGAUUUCAUUAUGUCCAUUGAAGCAAAUUGUAAAUAGUGUGUUUGGAGAUUAAGUGAUAGGCAAACUAAUUUUCAAUGUGAGAAUGAAUUGGUUAAAUGAUUGAAGCAUGGUUGAAUCUUAUUUCAUAUUCCUUUAUAUAUAUAUAUAUAUAAGUACAUCCAAAAUAAGAAUAUAAGUCUACCACCGCCAUUACCACAACCACAUUGAGAAGAUAAG